GAAAGUUGGAGGAUCGAAGAUGAUCAGAUACCGUCCUAGUCUCAACCAUAAACGAUACCGACUAGGGCUCGACGGAUGUUGCUUUUAUGACUCCGUCGGCACAUUAUGAUAAAUUAAAGUUUUUGGGU
rnacentral:rRNA from 1 species